rnacentral:rRNA from 1 species
UACAGAGGGUGCAAGCGUUGUUCGGAAUUAUUGGGCGUAAAGCGCGUGUAGGCGGCCUUGCAAGUCGGGUGUGAAAUCCCUCAGCUUAACUGAGGAAGUGCGCCCGAAACUGCAGAGCUUGAGUGCCGGAGAGGAUGGCGGAAUUCCCCAAGUAGAGGUGAAAUUCGUAGGUAUGGGGAGGAACACCGGUGGCGAAGGCGGCCAUCUGGCCGGUAACUGACGCUGAGACGCGAAAGCAUGGGGAGCAAACAGG